CACUUAGAAUACUUCUGGAACUUUGUCCCAAAGAAUCAGUGCCAUAGUAGAAGGUAGAGUUUUUUGUUUUUGUUUUUUUUUUAAUCAUAACAUGCUUUGCGCUGUGUUUUUCUUGACAAUUUGAUUCAGUGUAUCUUAUUUAAACCUUGCAACUGUCCAGUGAGAUAGAGCUGUUACUUGGUAGGCAAACAAAGACCUGUAGAGGUUAAAUUAUUUACUUGAGGUUAUGUGAACAGUGACAGAACUUCUGUUCUGGAAACCUCUGUCAAGUCCCUUCUCAUAGGCUUGACUGAAUCGACUUUUAGCACUACAGGCUGUUAAGUGUGGAUUUAGUGGUGCUAUGGCCUAAAUGUUUGUGGUCCAUUCAAAAUCCGUAUGUUGAAACCCUAAUCACAACAUAAUAGUAUAUGGAAAUAGGACCUUUGGUAGGUAAUUAGGUCAUGGGGGGUGGAACCCUCAUGUUGAGAUUAGAAGAGAUUGGAGAAAGCUUUUUCUCUUUUCUGUUUUUUCAUUCACCAUGUGAGGAUAUAUACAAAAGACACACCAUCUGCAAACCAGAGUCAUCGCCAGACACUGGAUUUGCCAUCCUCCUGAUCUCGGACAUCACAGCGUCCAGAACUAUGAGAAAUGAAGGACCCAGCCAGCCAUCCAUCAUCCUGCCAUGCGCCAUGUAACUACAUUGAGAUGAUACAAUUUCAGUGCAAAGCAAAGAAACCUGGACAUGUUAGUUAACCUUUGUCCUCCUAGCACAUGUGAUUUAUUUUCCCCCAUAGCAAUAUAUUCUUCAAAUCUAAAGGGAAACCAGAAGUAAAGAGACUCAGACAGAGAGAAAAAGAGAAGCACCCUCAGCAGGGACUCAUCUGUGAUGCCCUCACCCCAUCUUUCGGCUGCCAAGAUCGUAGGCAUGUGCAAACAAACACGUCAGCUUCGGAAUCCUGGUCUUCCACAUGGCUUCCAGCACUGCAGAGUGUUACCUCACCACUGCACCACCAUGUGUGGGCCUAACGUUAUAAUUUUGUACAUCAGCAUGUAUGGACUGAGAUUCAUAUUUUCUACGUGGUUAAAUGAGCUAUUAUGAAAAAUACUAGUUUGCAUGACUAUUUGAGUAUCUGCUUAGAAGAUUUUUCUGUAAAAGUCCAUUUGCCAAUCUUGGAGGGAAGUUUAGGCCUCUUACUCAGGUGUGGUGGAAAAGAGUCCUGGGCUUAGGGAAGGACUUCCAUCUUGCAGUCCCCACAUAGAUAUCUAUAAACUGGGAUAUUAAUGGUAUCUACCACAUAGCAUACUUACGAGGCUUAAGUGAAUUAAUGAAUGAAAAUGUGAAACCCCAAACAUGGCACAUUAUAAAUGCUCUAUAAAUAAUACUUAGUUAGUACUUCAGUUGCACAAAUGUGAUGUAAUAUUAUUGAAGGGGAUCAAGAAGACUUGGAAAUGAAUCAUUGAAACAGGGAUGAUUUAUUGAGUGCUAUCACUGGUCUUAGUGUUAGGGCGCACUUUCUUUCCCUUCUAGUUAGUUAUCAGAAGGGAAUGGGAAUUGUCAAGUAUGAGAAAGAAAAUUUAAAAAUUUCCUGAACACAUUAAGAGACAGAGAUUAGAGAGACACCUAAGAGACAUCUUCCUGAUUAUGUUUGAAGAGUCUAAAAUUUUGCCUAAAUCUCAGCCUGUUCAACGAACUCAGAAGAAAUCAACAGCUGAUGCCUGUUUUACCCCAGGCAAAACAUCCAUCAUAAACAAACUGUGGGUCCACUGCAGCCUUAGAUGUAUUGAUAGCCUGAGGCUAAAACUUUUCCUGUUCAUUAAAUGAAACAGACCCAAUCUAGGUCAGGGCAUUAGCAAAUGGUGAGCUGGCCUUGCCAGAUUUCUCUAGAUCCCUGAGCACAGAGGGAGGAAAAAAAGAAUUAAUCAAGCAGAGCCUCAUAGGGGAGGCUCUGACACAUUUGAAUAUAGGAAAACAUUAGGAAGUAACCAGAGGUAGAAGGAGAAGCUAGAUGUUAGUGGCAAUAGCAGCACUCUUUAUACAUUUUCUGAGUUUGCUUAAAAAUAUGGAUAUUUGCUUACCCGCAUCUCAUGUCCUAUCAGUGCUGACUUUUCAGGACCUGAGAGAUUUAAUGAAAAUGUGAACUGUUAAGCAAGUGAGUAAGCCAUGAGAGCCUCUAGUCAUCAGAGAGUCAGACCCAGCCUUCCUCCCAGUCCUCUCUCUUUGUAGUCCUGGAGCUCACCUCUCUCUUUUCUCUCUUUCACUUUUUCCCUCUGGUGUUUUCUUUACCAAGUCUUCCAGUCCUAACACUUUCAAAAUCCAAUUUCCAUGUUGCUG